AGAGUUUGAUCAUGGCUCAGAUUGAACGCUGGCGGCAUGCCUAACACAUGCAAGUCGAACGAGGUUGGCUUCAGCCAACCUAGUGGCGGACGGGUGAGUAAUACGUGGGAAUCUGCCUCGUAGUGGGGGAUAACGUAGGGAAACUUACGCUAAUACCGCAUACGCUCUACGGAGGAAAGGGGGGGAUCUUCGGACCUCUCGCUAUGAGAUGAGCCCACGUCUGAUUAGCUAGUUGGUGGGGUAAAGGCCUACCAAGGCGACGAUCAGUAGCCGGCCUGAGAGGGUGGACGGCCACACUGGGACUGAGACACGGCCCAGACUCCUACGGGAGGCAGCAGUGGGGAAUAUUGGACAAUGGGCGAAAGCCUGAUCCAGCAAUGCCGCGUGUGUGAAGAAGGCCUGCGGGUUGUAAAGCACUUUAAGUGGGGAAGAACGGGAUUGUGCUAAUACCGCGAUCCUUUGACGUUACCCACAGAAUAAGCACCGGCUAACUCCGUGCCAGCCGCCGCGGUAAUAC
rnacentral:rRNA from 1 species